rnacentral:rRNA from 1 species
UACGGAGGGAGCUAGCGUUGCUCGGAAUCACUGGGCGUAAAGCGCACGUAGGCGGCUUCUUAAGUCAGGGGUGAAAUCCUGGAGCUCAACUCCAGAACUGCCUUUGAUACUGGGAAGCUUCGAGUCCGGAAGAGGUGAGUGGAACUGCGAGUGUAGAGGUGAAAUUCGUAGAUAUUCGCAAGAACACCAGUGGCGAAGGCGGCUCACUGGUCCGGUACUGACGCUGAGGUGCGAAAGCGUGGGGAGCAAACAGG